AGAGUUUGAUCAUGGCUCAGAUUGAACGCUGGCGGCAUGCCUAACACAUGCAAGUCGAACGGCAGCACGGGGGCAACCCUGGUGGCGAGUGGCGGACGGGUGAGGAAUACAUAGGAAUCUGCCCAGUCGUGGGGGAUAACGUAGGGAAACUUACGCUAAUACCGCAUACGACCGUGAGGUGAAAGCGGGGGACCUUCGGGCCUCGCGCGAUUGGAUGAGCCUAUGUCCGAUUAGCUAGUUGGCGGGGUAAGAGCCCACCAAGGCGACGAUCGGUAGCUGGUCUGAGAGGAUGAUCAGCCACACUGGGACUGAGACACGGCCCAGACUCCUACGGGAGGCAGCAGUGGGGAAUAUUGGACAAUGGGCGCAAGCCUGAUCCAGCAAUGCCGCGUGUGUGAAGAAGGCCUUCGGGUUGUAAAGCACUUUUGUACGGGAAGAAAAGCGACGGGCUAAUACCUUGUCGUGAUGACGGUACCGUAAGAAUAAGCACCGGCUAACUUCGUGCCAGCAGCCGCGGUAAUACGAAGGGUGCAAGCGUUAAUCGGAAUUACUGGGCGUAAAGCGUGCGUAGGCGGUUGAUUAAGUCUGAUGUGAAAGCCCCGGGCUCAACCUGGGAAUUGCAUUGGAAACUGGUCAGCUAGAGUGCGGUAGAGGGUGGCGGAAUUCCCGGUGUAGCGGUGAAAUGCGUAGAGAUCGGGAG
rnacentral:rRNA from 1 species